rnacentral:rRNA from 1 species
CAAUAGCGUAUAUUAAAGUUGUUGCGGUUAAAAAGCUCGUAGUUGGAUUUCUGCUGAGAACGACCGGUCCGCCCUUUGGGUGUGUAUCUGGCUCUUUCUUGGCAUCUUCUUGGUGAACGUUGCUGCACUUGACUGUGUGGAGCGCUACCCAGGACUUUUACUUUGAGGAAAUUAGAGUGUUUCAAGCAGGCAUACGCCUUGAAUACAUUAGCAUGGAAUAAUAAGAUAGGACCUCGGUUCUAUUUUGUUGGUUUCUAGAGCUGAGGUAAUGAUUAAUAGGGAUAGUUGGGGGCAUUCGUAUUUAACUGUCAGAGGUGAAAUUCUUGGAUUUGUUAAAGUCGGACUACUGCGAAAGCAUUUGCCAAGGAUGUUUUCAUUG